CGCUGGCUCACCGACUAUGACAUCGUCAGCGUUUUACCCCCAUCGCUGGCUCACCGACUAUGACAUAGUCAGCGUUGCUUCACAUCGCUGGCUCACCGACUAUGACAUCAACGGCGUAGUUCCAAUAUCGCCGGUUCACCAAACUUGACACCUUAACGAUAUUUCUCAACCAUGCCCAGUACACUGGGAUCACUUCGGAGUCGCUCUUCUGAACAGUAGCGGUGUUUGUGAUACUCGAAGUCGGUUACUCAUUAACGCACACACAAACACCCCUGACUACAGACUCCUGGUACAGACGACCAUAGACAAGGUCCACUUUAACGGAAUUUCUCAACCAUGCCCAGUACACUGGGAUCACUUCGGAGUCGCUCUUCUGAACAGUAGCGGUGUUUGUGAUACUCGAAGUCGGUUACUCAUUAACGCACACACAAAUACCCCUGACUACAGACUCCUCGUACAGAGGGAAUUUCUCAACCAUGCCCAGUACACUGGGAUCACUUCGGAGUCGCUCUUCUGAACAGUAGCGGUGUUUGUGAUACUCGAAGUCGGUUACUCAUUAACGCACACACAAACACCCUGACUACAGACUCCUGGUACAGACAGAAUUUCUCAACCAUGCCCAGUACACUGGGAUCACUUCGGAGUCGCUCUUCCGAACCGUAGCGGGGUUUGUGUUUCUCGAAGUCGGUUACUCAUUAACGCACACACAAACACCCCUGA